rnacentral:tRNA from 1 species
UGGGGUUGUAGCUUAGUGGUAGAGUGCUUGCCCCGCAUGCGUGAGGCACUGGGUUCGAUCCUCAGCACCACAA